CCCUUAGAUGUUCUGGGCUGCACGCGUGCUACACUGAUAUUGCCAAUAUGUCAUUCUUAUCCGAAAUGGAUUGGGUAAUCAAGUAAUGAAAUUUCAUGCUUGGAAUCGGUAAUUGCAAUUUUAUCGUGAACGAGGAAUUCCUAGUAAGCACUAGUCAUCAGCUAAUGUUGAUUAUGUCCCAGCCCUUUGUACACACCGCCCGUCGCUACUACUGAUUGGGUGUUCAAGUGAGAUGCUUAGACCCUUGUUGCAUGGUUCAUUAUUGUGCUCCGAAAGGAAAAAGUUUCAAGCUUGAGUGUCUAGAGGAAGUAAAAGUCGUAACA
rnacentral:rRNA from 1 species